rnacentral:rRNA from 1 species
CCUACGGGUGGCAGCAGUGAGGAAUAUUGGUCAAUGGGCGCGAGCCUGACCCAGCCAAGCAGCGUGAAGGAUGACUGCCCUACGGGUUUUAAACUUCUUUUAUAAAGGAAUAAAGUGAGGCACGUGUGCCUUUUUGUAUGUACUUUAUGAAUACGGAUCGGCUAACUCCGUGCCAGUAGCCGCGGUAAUAAGGAGGGUCCGAGCGUUAUCCGGUUUUAUUGGGUUUAAAGGGAGCGUAGAUGGGUUGUUAAGUCAGUUGUGAAAGUUUUGGGCUCAACCUUAAAAUUGCAAUUGAAACUGGCAGCCUUGAGUACAGGUGAGGUAGGCGGAAUUCGUGGUGUAGCGGUGAAAUGCUUAGAUAUCACGAAGAACACCGAUUGCGAAGGCAGCUUACUAAACUGCCACUGACGUUGAUGCUCGAAAGUGUGGGUAGCAAACAGGAUUAGAUACCCGGGUAGUC